UGUCUUUUUGAUUAUAAUUUAAGGUUUAAUCUGCUCAAUGAUUAUUUAAAUUGCCGCAGUAUUUUGACUGUGCAAAGGUAGCAUAAUAAUUAGUUUCUUUAUUGGGAACUGGAAUGAAUGAUUGGACGAGAAAAUUUCUGUCUCUUUAUUAUUUUAAUUGAAUUUUACUUUUAAGUUAAAAGGCUUAAAUUUUAUUAGAGGACGAGAAGACCCUAUAGAGUUUAAUUUUUAUUUAAAUAAUUAUUUUUAGUAUUUAUAUAUAUUAUUUAAAUAAAAAUUUAGUUGGGGUGACUAAAAGAUAAGAAUAACUCUUUUAAUUUUUAUCAAUUAUUUUUGAUUAUAAAAUCUUUAUUUUUAAUUUUAAAAUAAAUUACCUUAGGGAUAACAGCGUAAUUCUUUUUUAAAGUUCUUAUUAAAAGAAGAGUUUGCGACCUCGAUGUUGGAUUAAAAUUAAUUUUAGGUGUAGAAGCUUGAAAAUUAAGUCUGUUCGACUUUUAAAAUUUUACAUGAUCUGAGUUUAAACCGGUGUGAGCCAGGUUGGUUUCUAUCCUUAAUUAUAUAUUAUACUU
rnacentral:rRNA from 1 species